CUCCAUAUUUCAUCCUUGUUGAGUGUUCCUAUAUUUUGUGAAUCAAAUAAUCCAACAAGUAGUACCUCUAAACAGUCAACUGCCGUUUGAUGAAUUACUUUUUGCGUUUUGCCCACAACAAUUUCAGUCUCCAAUAUUCAUUUGUCAAUUUUUCCCUUUAUCACUUCUUCACCAUUUCCUCAAACCCCAGCCUUUAUCACUUCUUCAUUAUUUCCUUAAACCCCAGCAAACCACCACCUGCAACCUCCGUCAUCGCCGCCGUAUAAUUCGCGGCAAUUUCCAAAUUGAAAGCUGUUGGUAUCCUUCUCCUCACCUCUCUCCAUUUGAGUUCGAAAGACAUUCAAUCUCUUUAUUUGUGUGCGCUCUCUUUCGGGCAAAGGGAUAUCGCGCCAUUGUUGUUCUUUGCCUUCUCUUUCACAGAUCUGGUCCUAGUGUAACAUCUUUAUUUGAAGACAUGAACUGGGAUUGAGAUUAGGUCUAUUCUAUGUUUAUAUCAUUGCUGACAACUGUGGAGGAUAACAUGUGUUGAAAGGGAAACGGAAGUGAAUGAAGCCUGCUACAUUGAUGUUGAAAUUUCAGACUUUUUCAUUUUGACCAAAACUCUCUUAACCUUUUCAAUAUUGGUCACAAUGCUGUGAAGAAUGAUGAUGAUGGUAUUCAAAUUGUUAAUGGAACUCUAUCUACUUGAUAACACAUGUUUGUUAGUGUGCAUGAUGUGGCAAAUUCUUUUAGACAGGGAAAAUCAUGAUGUGUCUUUUCAACACUUAUACAUGAGCUUUAUUACUCUCUAGGCCA